AUGAUGUAGGAGAAAGUCCUAUAGGUCUUU
rnacentral:tRNA from 1 species